UGAGGACCUUCCCUUGUCCCAGGACUUGAACUGUAAAUUGCAGAAGCUUCUCAAGAGUGCCUGUCCACCAUGAGCCUUUCUCUUUGACUGUCAGCCUGGAGAGCUGAAAGCAACGCCAACGCUCUUCACGUCUUGGACUGAUUCACCGAUCUUCACUCAAGUUAACAGUCUUGUCACUCACUCGCCUUGACACAGAGCAUCCUCUCAUAGGACCGCCGACCGUAGAUUUAAACUAAUAUGAAUAUGUCCCAGUACAAAGUGUUAACCUCGUUUGGAUUUGAAGCCCCAUCCUCAAGAGCAAAAGAAGGUGGAGGACCGCCAAAUGUCAGCUCAGCUGCGAGAAGUGUUUUAAAUCAUAUUUUGACGUCUGUUACGCUGUUAACCAGAAAUGUGACCAGCAGCCCUGGUGUGCCUGGGACAGUGAACUUGGCAAUGCUAACCUGGAAGAGCCCCUUGCAAACUAGCUAAGUUCGUCACGGUAGCUUCAGUACCAAGGUUGUCCUUCAGAGACCCACACAGGGAAGCCACGCACACCCACCUUUGCUGACAGACAUGGGUGACACCUGUUUCUGGUGGGAGUUCCACUUUACCUCUAAAGCCAGAAGAAUUUGAGCCCUGAUCUCUGACUUCGUGUAGCGAGUCCUUCUACUGUCUAAACUUACGGCCGGGAGUGCAGGUAAUGAAAACUGACCACAGGCUCUUCACAUUAAAUGUUCCUUGAGUUUUAAUUUCUGCACAUGGUGAUACCAUCUUUUACAAAGUUCUAGGCAAUGUCCUAUCUAAUUUCCAGGCAGGGUUUUCCUCUGUAGCUGACCAGAACAUUUGUUCACAUAGUCACUUAGGGAAGGAUGUGGAUCUUGACCCCCGCAUGGUCAGCCAAUGUUACCGUACUUAUUUGUGAACAAGCAAACUCUUAAGUGAUUAGAACUCAACUAGUCAUAAAUAUGUCGCAGUCUUCCUUUACAUCUCCAUGUUUUUCAACCUCCCCAUACUAACUUCCCAGGGGACUGCCUGGACUUUGAAUGCUUUGAUGGGUUGUAAGGCUCGCUCUCCUGAGGUU